AUUGAACGCUGGCGGCAGGCCUAACACAUGCAAGUCGAGCGAGCGGGGGGCGGGUGAGUAAUGUAUGGGGACUGCCCGAUAGAGGGGGAUAACUACUGGAAACGGUAGAUAAUACCGCAUACUAUCGGAUAACCCAUAUGGGAUUAGCUAGUAGGUGAGGUAAUGGCUCACCUAGGGGACGAGCCCUAGCUGGUCUGAGAGGAUGAUCAGCCACACUGGGACUGAGACACGGCCCAGACUCCUACGGAGGCAGCAGUGGGGAAUAUUGCACAAUGGGCGCAAGCCUGAUGCAGCCAUGCCGCGUGUAUGAAGAAGGCCUUAGGGUUGUAAAGUACUUUCAGUCGGGAGGCGUUACCGACAGAAGAAGCACCGGCUAACUCCGUGCCAGCAGCCGCGGUAAUAC
rnacentral:rRNA from 1 species